GGGGUGAGGCUCAGUGGUAGAGCACUUGCCUGGUGUGCAUGAGGCCCUGGGUUCCGUCUCCAGCACUGCCA
rnacentral:tRNA from 1 species